CAUCCUUCUCGGCCUUUUGGCUAAGAUCAAGUGUAGUAUCUGUUCUUAUCAGUUUAAUAUCAGAUUUUUAAAAAAUCAGAUGAUUUUUCAAAUCACAAAAUUCCUACAAGUAGUUGAAAGUUGCCACAUCAGUGCUUUUUUUUUGCUGAAACUAC
ensembl:snRNA U2 U2 spliceosomal RNA